AACGAACGCUGGCGGCAUGCCUAACACAUGCAAGUCGAACGAGACCUUCGGGUCUAGUGGCGCACGGGUGCGUAACGCGUGGGAACCUGCCCUUAGGUUCGGAAUAACUCCCCGACAGGGGUGCUAAUACCGGAUAAUGUCUUCGGACCAAAGAUUUAUCGCCUUUGGAUGGGCCCGCGUUGGAUUAGCUAGUUGGUAGGGUAAAAGCCUACCACGGCGACGAUCCAUAGCUGGUCUGAGAGGAUGAUCAGCCGCACUGGGACUGAGACACGGCCCAGACUCCUACGGGAGGCAGCAGUGGGGAAUAUUGGACAAUGGGCGAAAGCCUGAUCCAGCAAUGCCGCGUGAGUGAUGAAGGCCUUAGGGUUGUAAAGCUCUUUUACCCGGGAUGAUAAUGACAGUACCGGGAGAAUAAGCACCGGCUAACUCCGUG
rnacentral:rRNA from 1 species